UACGUAGGGGGUUAGCGUUGUCCGGAAUCAUUGGGCGUAAAGCGCGUGUAGGCGGCCCGGUAAGUCCGCUGUGAAAGUCGGGGGCUCAACCCUCGGAUGCCGGUGGAUACUGUCGGGCUCGAGUACGGAAGAGGCGAGUGGAAUUCCUGGUGUAGCGGUGAAAUGCGCAGAUAUCAGGAGGAACACCAAUUGCGAAGGCAGCUCGCUGGGACGUUACUGACGCUGAGACGCGAAAGCGUGGGGAGCAAACAGG
rnacentral:rRNA from 1 species